rnacentral:rRNA from 1 species
AUUGAACGCUGGCGGCAGGCUUAACACAUGCAAGUCGAGCGGAGAUGAGGUGCUUGCACCUUAUCUUAGCGGCGGACGGGUGAGUAAUGCUUAGGAAUCUGCCUAUUAGUGGGGGACAACAUUCCGAAAGGAAUGCUAAUACCGCAUACGUCCUACGGGAGAAAGCAGGGGAUCUUCGGACCUUGCGCUAAUAGAUGAGCCUAAGUCGGAUUAGCUAGUUGGUGGGGUAAAGGCCUACCAAGGCGACGAUCUGUAGCGGGUCUGAGAGGAUGAUCCGCCACACUGGGACUGAGACACGGCCCAGACUCCUACGGGAGGCAGCAGUGGGGAAUAUUGGAAAAUGGGGGGAACCCUGAUCCAGUCAUGCCGCGUGUGUGAAGAAGGCCUUAUGGUUGUAAAGCACUUUAAGCGAGGAGGAGGCUACUGAGACUAAUACUCUUGGAUAGUGGACGUUACUCGCAGAAUAAGCACCGGCUAACUCUGUGCCAGCAGCCGCCGCAGUAA